GGCGCUUGAUUACGAUGGGAGGAGAGAUCGCUUCUCCCUCGCUUCUGUGUAGAUUUUGCGAAGCAAUUGGCCUUCGUGCUUAGUUUGGUAAUGCUCCACGCAUUUCUGUUGGGUCGGUGGUUCUUUGCUCCACCGGGAUUUGAGAUUUGGUCAGAGAUGAGGAAUAACCGCGCAAAUUAUUUCCAACCUUCGGGGAUUGUGCAAAUCAUUUCUAUUGCUUACAGUUACAGAUUGGAGCUCCUAAUAAAGUAGAAAUGGUGUUAAUUCAAUGAUCAGUUGAACAAAUUCUUGGACGAAACAUGCAGCAAUCAACAGGAGAAUCUGAAAAGAUCUUGCAUGCGCUUGAAAGCCAUUGGUGUAGCCACUCUCCUGUCAUCGUGGAAUGAUGAUGCUUCUGUUUCCAGAUUCUUCAGAUCUCGAUAAGUGAAUGCUGCUUCUCUCAUGGCAUCUGCUUUCUUCUCUGGCCAGUUAGGGAAGUGCUUGAGCACUGCCCUUUCGUCAACCAGGUUUUACCUUCAGCGGUCGGUGUUCUAUUCUACACCAACAAAGAGAUUCCUACCGUGAAGCUUGGUAGUAAGCUUUCUUCUGCCUCAAGUUGUGCAAAAGGGACUCAGAUGGAACUCCUUUACCAACCAGAGGACAUCUUUGGUUAAUAAUAAGACCAAGUGAAAACUUGAAAAGUAGAGGGAGAAAAGGAAACAAAAGGAAAGCCGGCCAAAAAAGUAAAGGAGAUCUGAAUGUUUUUAUCUUAUACACACACAGGUGUUACAAUCCUUGGAAAUGUAGCAGCAUAGCUCUUAUUGUAGCAACCGUAAGCCAUGUGGAAGUUCUUUCUACCUGUCUGGACAACUGGACAUAUGUUUAUGUCACCAAAUAUAGGCGGUAGCAGAACCCUGAAAACGACAUAUCAGUAGGUUUAGACAGAUGUGUCCCUAUGUAUCAAGAUUCUGAAAAUGUUAUCAAACAAAAGGAAGAAACUGUUAUUAAAGAUGAUAACACAGCAACAAGUACACUGAGAAUAGGAAGCCAGAUGUAGCCGAAGAAACUGACUACCGGGUCAGUCUUGUAAUGAAGCUUGAUGUAUUUUCUCCCUUUUUCAGCACUUGAUUUAUGAAAAUACUAAAUAUCUGAAGUGUGGUAACUUGAGCUGUGAAAGAUACUUCAUCAAGAUCUGUGAAUGGAGAGUCCCGAUUGCAUGUAA